GAAGCUGCUGACCGUGAGUCCAUGUUGGUUCAAACACUUGAGGAACUGAGGCAGACUUUAAGUAGAACUGAGCAACAGGCAGUUUUCAGAGAAGACAUGCUCAGACGAGAUAAUGAAGAACUUCAAAGGCGGUAUCAGGAAAGUGAGAUUAGGUAUAACGAGUUGAACUCCCAAGUACCAGAAUCCACUAGGCCGCUUUUGAGACAGAUUGAAGCUAUGCAGGAGUCAAGUGCGAG
rnacentral:misc_RNA from 1 species